AAUAUUUAAACCCUACAACAAUAAAUCCCAGCAAAUGUAUAUGUUAAAUAUGUUAAAUAAAUAUAAUUAUUAGGAAAAUACAUAUUAAAGCCAUAAUAAGAUAACAUUAAAUACCCAUUGUGGAUUUACCCAUAAGGGAUGUCUCAUCCCCUAGAGUGGGAGUACAGGUGCUUGCAGGUUGCCUGUAUGGAUGCUGGGAACUGUGCUCAGAUCCUCUGCAAGAACAAUGUGUGAUCUUAACCACUGAGCCGUCUCUCCAGCCCUGGAGUUUUUCUUUGGAAGGCCUGACUUUUGAUGAUGAUGCUCAGGAUCUUACAGAAAGAGAAAGCUUCAUCCCCUCUGAGAAAUCUGUCAUUUCUGCGUUGUGGAGCCCUUUCCUCCCCAGUGACGGAAGGCCGUUCAGAUGUCACCCUCAGCAACAAUAGCAGCUGUGACAGUAAAAGGCAGACGAAGAUGGUGUGGCCUGAAUCAGCGUCCCUGCUUCCCACUGCAGGGUUGACAAGCUACACUGAGGCCUGUGGCCUGGGCUUGGGACAUAGCUGCUAAAAGCACUUUCUUCGACUCCUCCUAAGUGGGCUCUCUGCAAUGGCCAGUGACUGUGAGCACUUCAGACAGGCACAGCUGUGGGCGAGCACAGGACCAUCUUGUUGCAUUUCUAUAAAGAAAACAAGCUGACCAUGUACUUGGAGCCAAAGAUGCUGAAGCGCUUCUCCUAAAUUUAAAGUGGUUUUAAUUGUUUCAAGGCAGAAUGGAGGCGUUCAGGCAACAGUGACCAGAUUUUGUCCAAUUUUAUACAGAAAUUAUAUGAAAAAAAAACCCACCUCUGGUCAACUUCACAAGAUUUUGAGACUGUAUCUGAGGCUUGUGGUUGGAAACUUGCUUUUAGUGAUCUGCCGGUAUCUUGUAGUCUUUGCAAAGAUAAGAACAUGAGACCUCCACUUCAUAGGUGCCCCAGAUCAAUGAAUAACUCACCACGGAUAUCCAGCAAGAAUCAUACUGUACAAAAUGUAGUUCAUCCUUCUAAACCUGUGAUUAGAUCUUCCCGUCUGCCAGGAAGGAUGUGCUCCACACAGUGGCCAGCAGGGAGGGAGCGAGUGACGUGUCUAUUGCGGACUAGGAAAAAUACUCCGUUUGAGAGCCAAUCCCCUGAAGCAGGAUGACCCAGUUGAAGCCUUACACCUGCACUUCUUCCUACUGAACUCCGCACCCGCGAGGCCGCUCUCCAUCCACGCAAGCCGUAUGGUCUGUGAGGAGAGUUUCUCAGACUUUGAUGUGCACAUCGCCGGACUGGGGGAUCCUGGCAAGUGCAGGUUCUGAGGCAGUGGAUCUGGAAUGGACCUGAGACUCAGCAUUCCUCAUCAACCCCAGGUGACAGUGAUAUGUCUGCUAUGUGAGCCUUGAAGUCACAGAGAUUCCCUCCCACCCCCAACCUCUGCUGGGAUUAAAGGCAUG